UGUUGACCCAAAAGUGGAACAUCUUGUCCUGAGAGCCAAGAGGAGGAAGGACAUCAGCACGAAGAUUCAAAGAGAGCCCAAAACCCUUUAGACAUGAAAAAUUAACUCUCACAUGAUCGUCAUGUCCAAAUUUCUGAUGACAGUGCAUUUGGGG